GCUGAGACCAUAAGAGUGGCUGUUCCGACCCAGAAACAGCUGGAUUGAGCCACCUGACCCUCUUAAAUUUAGCCUCUGGACCGGGGUGGAGGCCGUGCUGGUUCCAACUGGAUCCUCUGACCGCCGAGUGCACCGAGAGGUCUGUCCAGUGACCACUCAGCCGCGGACGCCAGACACUGCCCACCACACGUCCCUCACGGCCACCUGAACGUUUUGUUUUUAGAAUAGCGCCCCGCUCGUUUUGAGACACUCGUGUCACACUCAAGACUACAAACAGAAAAUGCUCCAGUGGACACCAGCGCCCCCAGAAUUCUCGGCGGCGACCUCUUUCUCCGUCCAUUUUCAGAGAGAAGGACAGAUGGACGGAUGGAAAUCUUUCCCAGAAAAGGGCUCCUGCAAUGAUACACGCUCUUCGGGGGGGAAAAGCACUUAAAUUCAACAGAACAAAAGGAAGCCUGGAUGUAACUGAAGACAUUGCCCAACUGCAAAUGAUUGUGCUUCUUAUGUUUCUCAAUUAUUUCCCUAAAAGGAAAGAAAAAUACCAAGAGGCUGGAUUCAUUCUUUAAACAUGUUUCCACUGUAGAUGGCAUCUCUUGACAGCCGGUGAUUUGGGACGAGGAAAUGAGCUCACCCACUUCCUAUCCCCUUCCCCUCCCAGAAGCUGUGAGUUCUUAUUUUUACAUUGUCGAGUUCUGUGCUCCUUGCAUCCUGUCCUGUAACCAUCCUUCCCACCAUUGUUUGGCUCAGUUCCGUGCAAGCAUAUGGGUGUUCUGCUCACGGCCAGUCCUUUCCAAAUGAGCUUCCUGGUCCUCUGUUCCCGAGUCCUUCAGCUGGGAGCUCCUCCUGACACCUUGACUUGGCCUUCAAGGACUCUGUUCCCCGAGAGGGUCCUGUCGGUCCCAGCCUCUGGGUUGCGGCUGCCAGGCUGCAGGUCUGGAGACCUGAAGCACGGCCCGGGGGUAGGUGGAUGGUCAAACGGGCUGACGGAUGCCCGGUGAAACCGGCACAAAUCCCCAGUGUUGGGUCGAGCACUGCACUCACCAAGAUGAUUGCUUGCUGAAAACCGAGUCUUGAACUUGUAUGUGGUGAUACACAGUUGAAGUUUUAGAUUUUGGAAAGAAGGGAAACGACGAGGGGGUGGGGGUGCAGAGAGGGGUAUGGAAUAUUGUGUAGAAAGAAAGGACAGGCCAGGCUUCUGGCCCAGGGAACCUCCAUGACCAUGUUUCCCAUCGCUACCCUCACCCCCGUACAUUUCAUCCCGUCAACAGCAGUGCCCUCUCCUGUCUGCACUUGGAGAAAUCCAACUUCUUCAGUGCCUAGGUCAAAUGCCACCUCCCCUGUGAAGCCCUUCUGUGACGUUUGGAUCAUUAUUUGGCAAAUAUUUACUUCCCUCCUCUCCCACUGUGGGAAGAGUGAUGAGAUGGCUGAUGAGAUGUUUAGAGACCAGACGAGGAGCCAACCACGACAUGGGCUUGGUGGCAGAGCAUGCCUACAUGGGCUUCCGUCAUUGCUAGGAGCACAGUUCCCCCCCCCCCUGCAUAGCCCGCUCGUUCCAAAACAGACCUCAACCAAACCCCUGCCAGGAGCCAAUCUAGCUAGGCCCAGCAAAACUGGCAGUGGAGUCAGAAGUACAUACUUAUAAUGUAAGCCAUUGAAUGAAGGGGCCAUUUGUUACACAGCAUUGCUGCAGUGAUGGUUGACCAAUGCACUUUCUCUGUCCAUUUUCUCUUUUGUGCUUGAGCUGUACUUUGUCCCACAGCUUUACUUUAUUAACCCUAGAACUGAUUUUGUUGUAGAGUCUGGCUUCCCUCUGGUCUCUGAGCAGCUUGAGGCGAGGACGGUGUCUGACUCAAUUCUGACAACCCAGUGCCCAGUUGAAUGGCACCCAAAGUCAUCCUUUCCAUCUGCAACCUUUCCAGGACAGCCGGUCUCAGUGGAGAGCCCAAGGCCUCUGCUUCCAGGACACAUCUGCAAAUUUGGACAAGAAGGUUCAAAAGCCCCACACUUUGGUAUCCACUGCCAGGGAAAAUACUCAGAGCACAGCUGCCCUCACCUGGGAACAUUGGGACAACGGCCUCUUUGAUAGGCUAAGGAAUGGAAACAGGGAGACGACCUGAGCACCAGUCACCGCGUGAGACGAUGGAAGAAAACCCACAGAGUCCUGGAGGGGAUGUAUUUAUUGCGUUCCCACCAUGCGCUACCAGCCGGUGGACAGAACAGCCUCAAAUCCUGCUGUUGUGGGGGUUUUGACGCCACCGAGAUGGUGACCAAGGCAGAUCUCUACACCGGUCACCUAUUCCCAGCUCCCCGAAGCUCCGGAACAAUCAUCACGGACGUACCACCCAACCUGUACACGGUCCCAUGGUAUGGUAAUCGGCUUGAGCUGCCAUGACAAAAUACCAUAGACUCCGUGCUGUAAACAACAGAAAUUUAUUUCUCCCAGCUCCGGAGGCUGGAAGUUCAAGAUCAAGGUGCCAGCAAGGUAGGUUUCAUUGUAAGGCCUCUUCUCUUGGCGUGGAGGUAGGGGGCCAUCCUCUCGGUGUGCUUGCCUGACCCCGUCUUUGUGCUGCAUGAGGGGAGGAGGGAGAGGGAGAAAGAGAGAGGUGUUGUGUCUCUUCUUCUUACAAGGACAUCAGUUCUGUCAGAUUAGAGCCUCACCUUUACGACUGCAUUUAACCUAAAUUACACUCUAAAGACUCUAUCUCCAAAUACAGUCACAUGGGGGUUAAGGUUUUAACGCAGGAAUUAUGGGAGGACACGACUGAGUCCAUAGCACAUGGACACCCAACAAAUGCUCAGAAUCUGGUCUGCCACUUCACAGAGAAUAGAAAGAGUCAACUUUCUGUAAGUGUUAGAAAUGUUCUGUAUUUGUGUGGUAGUUACAUAAGAGUGUGUGUGUGUAUGUGUG